UACGUAGGGCGCAAGCGUUAUCCGGAAUUAUUGGGCGUAAAGAGCUCGUAGGCGGUUUGUCGCGUCUGCCGUGAAAGUCCGGGGCUCAACUCCGGAUCUGCGGUGGGUACGGGCAGACUAGAGUGAUGUAGGGGAGACUGGAAUUCCUGGUGUAGCGGUGAAAUGCGCAGAUAUCAGGAGGAACACCGAUGGCGAAGGCAGGUCGUCUGGGCAUUAACUGACGCUGAGGAGCGAAAGCAUGGGGAGCGAACAGG
rnacentral:rRNA from 1 species